AUUGAACGCUGGCGGCAGGCCUAACACAUGCAAGUCGAACGGUAACAGGAAGAAGCUUGCUUCUUUGCUGACGAGUGGCGGACGGGUGAGUAAUGUCUGGGAAACUGCCUGAUGGAGGGGGAUAACUACUGGAAACGGUAGCUAAUACCGCAUAACGUCGCAAGACCAAAGAGGGGGACCUUCGGGCCUCUUGCCAUCGGAUGUGCCCAGAUGGGAUUAGCUAGUAGGUGGGGUAACGGCUCACCUAGGCGACGAACCCUAGCUGGUCUGAGAGGAUGACCAGCCACACUGGAACUGAGACACGGUCCAGACUCCUACGGGAGGCAGCAGUGGGGAAUAUUGCACAAUGGGCGCAAGCCUGAUGCAGCCAUGCCGCGUGUAUGAAGAAGGCCUUCGGGUUGUAAAGUACUUUCAGCGGGGAGGAAGGGAGUAAAGUUAAUACCUUGGCUCAUUGACGUUACCCGCAGAAGAAGCACCGGCUAACUCCGUG
rnacentral:rRNA from 1 species